rnacentral:rRNA from 1 species
GGAGUAUGGACCGUGUCUCAGUUCCAUUGUGGCCGUUCACCCUCUCAGGUCGGCUACACAUCCUCGCCUUGGUGGGCCGUUGCCCCGCCAACUAGCUAAUGUGCCGCAGGUCCAUCCGAAAGCGUCGCAAACGCGACUUUCGUGCGGAGGGGAUGUCCCCUCCGCCGCUAUCCGGUAUUAGCCAAGGUUUCCCCUGGGUAUCCCAGACUUAGGGGCAGGUUACCUACGUGUUACUCACCCGUUCGCCACUAAACCCGAAGGUUCCGUUCGACUUGCAUGUGUUAAGCACGCCGCCAGCGUU